rnacentral:misc_RNA from 1 species
GAGGCAUUGAAGAUGAGAGUAUUUGUGGCCAUUGUGGUUGUUCUCAUGGCGGUUUCUGCUGCUCAGAAUGUGGCUGCUCAGGAAGGCCCAGCUCCUAGCCCUGCCUCUGAUGCCACUGUUUUCGUACCAACUGUUUUCGCAUCUCUUGCAGCUUUUGCUUUUGGGCUCCUCAUCUAAAUGGGUCUUGAAGAAAUUCUUAAAUUUUGAAUUUUGAAAGCGUAAAUUCUGAGUUCUUUGCCUCAGGCUCUUUCUUGUCCCACGAUUACAUUUUGAGUCUUUGAUAGGCUAAUGGGAUUGUAAUUGUGGGGCAGAAAGAGGCUGCGAGACGUUUGCUUCUUUUGAAUUUUCCUUUAUCAUGAUGUUUAUGAAUAUUUCUUUAUUUGUAUAAUUGAUGUGACUUGGUAUUUUUUGUACAAUUCUUGUGAUUUUGCUUACGUCUUCUCUGAACCCUGAAAAUUUUCUGUUUCAUUUUACUUUUAUUGUACCUUUUGAUGCUAAUUUUUUUAAAAAAAAAAGGCUGAAUAUUAUCAAAAUUAUGAUAUCCAUUUGAAUGGGAAAAAGAAAUUGGGAUUGGAAGGAAUUGGAUUGGCUGAUUGGUCAAUAGUUGAACCAAUCACCUUGUUAUUGGUGGAUUAAAUUCAUUUUCGAUUAGAG